rnacentral:rRNA from 1 species
GACGAACGCUGGCGGCGUGCUUAACACAUGCAAGUCGAACGGAAAGGCCCUGCUUUUGUGGGGUGCUCGAGUGGCGAACGGGUGAGUAACACGUGAGUAACCUGCCCUUGACUUUGGGAUAACUUCAGGAAACUGGGGCUAAUACCGGAUAGGAGCUCCUGCUGCAGGGUGGGGGUUGGAAAGUUUCGGCGGUUGGGGAUGGACUCGCGGCUUAUCAUCUUGUUGGUGGGGUAGUGGCUUACCAAGGCUUUGACGGGUAGCCGGCCUGAGAGGGUGAACGGCCAGAUUGGGACUGAGAUACGGCCCAGACUCCUACGGGAGGCAGGAGUGGGGAAUAUUGAACAAUGGGCGGAAGCCUGAUGCAGCAACGUAGCGUCCGGGAUGACGGCCUUCGGGUUGUAAACCGCUUUCGCCUGUUACGAAGCGUGAGUGACGGUAAUGGGUAAAGAAGCACCGGCUCACUACGUG